CGCCUUGCCAGCCCGCUCAGAAACUCAAAUGAAUUUGACGGGGGCCCGCACAAGCGGUGGAGCAUGUGGUUUAAUUCGAUGAUACGCGAGGAACCUUACCUGGGCUCAAAUGUAUGUUGACGUAUUCUGAAAGGGAUACUUCUUCGGACAAUAUACAAGGGUGCUGCAUGGUUGUCGUCAGCUCGUGCCGUGAGGUGUCGGGUUAAGUCCCCAUAACGAGCGCAACCCCUAUCAUUAGUUGCCAUCAGGUCAAGCUGGGGACUCUAAGGAUACUGCCCCGGUUAACGGGGAGGAAGAUGGGGAUGACGUCAAAUCAGCACGGCCCUUACGUCCAGGGCUACACACGUGCUACAAUGGCCGGUACAAAGGGCAGCUACCUGGUGACAGGAUGCUAAUCUCCAAAGUCGGUCUCAGUUCGGAUCGGAGUCUGCAACCCGACUCCGUGAAGUUGGAUUCGCUAGUAAUCGCGCAUCAGCCAUGGCGCGGUGAAUACGUUCCCGGGCCUU
rnacentral:rRNA from 1 species